rnacentral:rRNA from 1 species
AAUACGGAGGGGGCGAGCGUUAUUCGGAAUUAUUGGGCGUAAAGGGCGCGUAGGCGGCUUGAUAAGUCAAAGGUGAAAUCCCUCGGCUCAACUGAGGAACUGCCUUUGAAACUAUCGAGCUUGAGGCCGGGAGGGGGUAGCGGAAUUCCCAGUGUAGCGGUGAAAUGCGUAGAUAUUGGGAGGAACACCGGUGGCGAAGGCGGCUACCUGGACCGGUUCUGACGCUGAGGCGCGAAAGCGUGGGUAGCAAACAG